rnacentral:rRNA from 1 species
CAGUCGAACGAAGCACUUAUCUUUGAUUCUUCGGAUGAAGAGGUUUGUGACUGAGUGGCGGACGGGUGAGUAACGCGUGGGUAACCUGCCUCAUACAGGGGGAUAACAGUUAGAAAUGACUGCUAAUACCGCAUAAGACCACAGAGCCGCAUGGCUCAGUGGGAAAAACUCCGGUGGUAUGAGAUGGACCCGCGUCUGAUUAGGUAGUUGGUGGGGUAACGGCCUACCAAGCCAACGAUCAGUAGCCGACCUGAGAGGGUGACCGGCCACAUUGGGACUGAGACACGGCCCAAACUCCUACGGGAGGCAGCAGUGGGGAAUAUUGCACAAUGGGGGAAACCCUGAUGCAGCGACGCCGCGUGAGCGAAGAAGUAUUUCGGUAUGUAAAGCUCUAUCAGCAGGGAAGAAAAUGACGGUACCUGACUAAGAAGCACCGGCUAAAUACGUGCCAGCAGCCGCGGUAAUACGUAUGGUGCAAGCGUUAUCCGGAUUUACUGGGUGUAAAGGGAGCGUAGACGGCUGUGUAAGUCUGAAGUGAAAGCCCGGGGCUCAACCCCGGGACUGCUUUGGAAACUAUGCAGCUAGAGUGUCGGAGAGGUAAGUGGAAUUCCCAGUGUAGCGGUGAAAUGCGUAGAUAUUGGGAGGAACACCAGUGGCGAAGGCGGCUUACUGGACGAUGACUGACGUUGAGGCUCGAAAGCGUGGGGAGCAAACAGGAUUAGAUACCCUGGUAGUCCACGCCGUAAACGAUGACUACUAGGUGUC